rnacentral:rRNA from 1 species
UACAGAGGUCUCAAGCGUUGUUCGGAUUCAUUGGGCGUAAAGGGUGCGUAGGCGGCGCGGUAAGUCGGGGUGUGAAAUCUCGGAGCUUAACUCCGAAACUGCAUUCGAUACUGCCGUGCUUGAGGACUGGAGAGGAGACUGGAAUUUACGGUGUAGCGGUGAAAUGCGUAGAUAUCGUAAGGAAGACCAGUGGCGAAGGCGGGUCUCUGGACAGUUCCUGACGCUGAGGCACGAAGGUCAGGGGAGCAAACGGGG